CGCCAGUACUAGGGAAAGACAGCAAGGAAGAGGCUCUACAGAAAGGAAGGACAUAAGAGUCCACAGGACAGAAGGAGGGACGUCUUCUUACAUCUUUCUGAGCACAAACUUGCAGCCAGGUUCUCUUUUCCCACACAGGAUGCAGGAAAGAAGAGGGGAACAGAUACAUGUCCGCCAGUCCCUGCUCCUACUUCUCCUGGCAUCUCACAGUCUCAGCAUGACAAUACAGCAGAUAUCCUUGGCCCUGCAUUGACCUUCGGCUACAAAUAAGGGGCGGAGUUCCACACCGUAGCCAGGACUCACAAAGCCUUAGAAGAUUCAGCGGAGACACGAAUGCACUGCUUAACCUGAGCAUUGCGGGAUUUUACAGAGGCUGGGAACACGGACUCUAGUCCCUCUAGCCCAGGUUCAAACUUCAUCUCUAACCCUCAGUUACUGGGUGACCUCUGCUCCUGCCUCAGGUGUCUGCUAGACACCUGUUAGAGUUCCUGUCCUGACGUCCCUCCAUGAGGAGCAGUGAUAGGGAAAUGUAAGUGGAAUAAGCCUUUUCUUCCCCAGCUAGUUUUUUGGGCAUGGAGUUUCAUUGAAGCAACAGAAGCCCUAACUAAGACAUAGUAGUUACAUGGAAAAAAAUGAAGGGCACCAAUGU